ensembl:snRNA U2 U2 spliceosomal RNA
AUCGCUUCUCGGCCUUUUGGCUAAGAUCAAGUGUAGUAUCUGUUCUUAUCAGUUUAAUCAUCUAUUUACAUCAGUAUGUAAUUAAUGGAUUAAUGGAUAUUUAUUUUAUACUUUGAUAUAAUUAAGUACUACUUUGAUAGUAGUCCCUUUGACAUGCACCAUGACUGCGUAUGCAGGGUGGGGUUU